AUAUGUGAGAAUAUACCACAUUCACACACCAUUCACCCCUGCAUCACCUCCUUCCUUCUCAUUUUCUCCUGGAGUUGGCUGCUCCACCCAAAACAACACACAUGUACAGGAGUCUGCUCUCCCUCCCUCUACUCCCAGACCAAAGUUUGUGAGCUAUGAAACUCAUUUGUAUCGUUACCCAGCUCUGACAACCUGCCCAUCUUGUCAGACUCAAAAAUCACCACUCAGGUCACCUUUAAAGUUGAUAUUCACACGUGGCUCAUGUGUGAGAACGGACUCAUUCAAACUGCUUUAUCUGUUUAAUCCUAUUACCAAGCAUCAAACACACACACACACACACACACACACACACACACACGCUCACUCAUAAGGCAAAGACUGAUGUGUUUUAUCUGUCUCACAGGUUGCUGUUUGGAUGCUGCCUGAUUCCAUUUUUUGUUAACCAUUUCAAGGACGCCUAUCACACAUGUCCUCGCUGUCGACGGGUCCUUCAAGUACACAAGAAGACGUGUUGUGAAUGAACACAAAUGAGUCGAUCUAAUGUGUCUUCUCAUAGUAGCAAAAAGUUCAAACUAAUUAUUGCAGUAAAAUGUGUGCAUGCCUGUUUCAAAGUCAGUCAGAAUGACACAAGUAUUAGGAUUUAUAUGUCUAAAUAAAUAAUAUGUAGAAACCUGUUAGUUCCCAGAAUAUACAAAUCUGAGAUUUUUAACUUUAUUUUAAUCAUGUUUUGUAACAAAACCAUUCAAAUAAAUGUUUCUAUGGCAA